GACGAACGCUGGCGGCGUGCUUAACACAUGCAAGUCAUGCGGUAAGGCCCUUUCGUGGGUACACGAGCGUCGAACGGGUGAGUAACACUUGAGCAACCUGCCCCUCACUUUGGGAUAACUGCCGCAAACGGUGGCUAAUACCGGAUACGACUUCCUCACGCAUGUGGGUUGUUGGAAAGCCUUCGGGUGGUGGGGGAUGGGCUCGCGGUCUAUCAGCUUGUUGGUGGGGUGAUGGCCUACGAAGGCUUCGACGGGUAGCCGGCCUGAGAGGGUGACCGGCCACCAUGGGACUGAGAGACGGCCCAGACUCCUACGGGAGGCAGCAGUGGGGAAUAUUGGAGAAUGGGGGAGAGCCUGAUACAGAAACGCCGCGUGCGGGAUGACGGCCUUCGGGUUGUAAACCUAUUUCGCCUGCGCCGAAGCGAGCGUGACGGUAGCAGGUCAGGAAGCACCGGCCAACUACGUG
rnacentral:rRNA from 1 species